AAGGUGUUACAGUUGUUAAACUUAUGGGCAUGUGGCAGCAAUGUAGCUGGGGAUCAGAAAUGUCCCGUGUGAGAGAGGCUGGUUGAGGUUUCCAGGGUUAGAGUAGAGCAGAAGUUGUCAUAUGCUGAGGCAGUGAAGAAAGUAGAGGAAGAAUGGUCAAGAGGGAGGAGUGGUGAGAGUAGUAGAGAUAUAUUCCAGUACAGAGGGAUAGGCCAAAAAGUGAAAUAAGUUUCAGUAAGAUUGGAUUUUUAGCAUUUAUAGCAAUGGUUAUUAAUUGUACUGCAGGGAUGGAUCGGAAGUCUCAGAAAAUUGAGGAUGUGGUGGCAGCUGCAGGGAGUUAUUUGGGUGUGCGGGACUUGACAGCAGAAGAGUUACAGGAUGUGUUAAGUGGUGAUGUCAGUGUGAUGGCAUUAGGUAGGAAUAAAUACAUUUAAUUAGUGGAGAAGGGGGGGUGUUCAUUUUAUUUUAUAUAAUUUUGAAAUUAGUGAGUAUAGUGCUAGAUGAUAGGGUAUUUAUUUAGUAUUGUUUACCUAAUACCUUUUUUGCACUAUUGGUUAGAGCCUGUAAGUAAGCAUUUCACUGUUGUAUUCCGCGCACGUGACAAAUAAACUUUGAUUUGAUUUUUCAAGUAAAGAGGAAGGGAGUUGUACUCCAGUCUAGUAGGUGGCGGUAAUGCAACAAAUUGGAUGCCAACUGCCGUUAAAUCUCAUAGAAGAAGUGCAGUUACGUCCCAAGGAUCCCGUAUAGAAAUCGCCACUAACUACCACAGCGUAAUAACCUCACCAGUAUUACCAUUUCUCAUCUUAAAAUUAUUUAAACGUAACCACACUGCUAACAUUAUGACUAACCUUGAAUUAAGAUCAAAAAACAAAUGAUUGUUUUCAAUAAUUUUUACGUAUAGCCAAUGUUGACUUGGUGGCAACCGCAUCCAGGCCAGCGUCUUCAGAGAGAAGGCAGUUUUCUCGGAGAAGCAGGAGAGCGAGGACAUGUCCUAGAUAAGUUCUGGGCACCCUGGAGGCAACACUCGGCUUUAUUUUCAUGUGAGCAUCAGCACAUAUCACACGGGAAGUGGGCAAAGUGUCCGAGACAUUGCAAAAGCUUGCUGUCUAACCGGUCGUGGU
rnacentral:lncRNA from 1 species